rnacentral:rRNA from 1 species
ACAUCCAAGGAAGGCAGCAGGCGCGCAAAUUACCCAAUCCCGACACGGGGAGGUAGUGACAAUAAAUACUGAUGCAGGGCUCUUUUGGGUCUUGUAAUUGGAAUGAGUACAAUUUAAAUCCCUUAACGAGGAACAAUUGGAGGGCAAGUCUGGUGCCAGCAGCCGCGGUAAUUCCAGCUCCAAUAGCGUAUAUUAAAGUUGUUGCAGUUAAAAAGCUCGUAGUUGAACCUUGGGCCUGGCUGGCCGGUCCGCCUCACCGCGUGUACUGGUCCGGCCGGGCCUUUCCUUCUGGGGAACCUCAUGCCCUUCACUGGGCGUGUUGGGGAACCAGGACUUUUACUUUGAAAAAAUUAGAGUGUUCAAAGCAGGCCUUUGCUCGAAUACAUUAGCAUGGAAUAAUAGAAUAGGACGUGUGGUUCUAUUUUGUUGGUUUCUAGGACGCCGUAAUGAUUAAUAGGGAUAGUCGGG